GCCUGGCUGGCUCAGUUGGUUGAGCGCCUGACUCUUGAUUUGGGCUCAGGUUGUGAUCUCAUGAGUCAUGAGAUCGAGCCCCAUGUUGGGCU
rnacentral:tRNA from 1 species